GACGAAGGGGGCUAGCGUUGUUCGGAAUUACUGGGCGUAAAGCGUGCGCAGGCGGCGCGUUAAGACAGGUGUGAAAGCCCCGAGCUUAACUUGGGAAUUGCGCUUGUGACUGGCGAGCUGGAGUGUGGCAGAGGGAGGUGGAAUUCCACGUGUAGCAGUGAAAUGCGUAGAGAUGUGGAGGAAUACCGAUGGCGAAGGCAGCCUCCUGGGCCAGCACUGACGCUCAUGCACGAAAGCGUGGGGAGCAAACAGG
rnacentral:rRNA from 1 species